rnacentral:rRNA from 1 species
UACAGAGGGUGCGAGCGUUAAUCGGAAUUACUGGGCGUAAAGGGCGCGUAGGUGGUUGUAUAAGAUUGUUGCGAAAUCCCUGGGCUUAACCUAGGAACUGCAACGAUGACUGUAUAGCUAGAGUAUUGUAGAGGGUAGUGGAAUUUCCGGUGUAGCGGUGAAAUGCGUAGAGAUCGGAAGGAACACCAGCGGCGAAGGCGGCUACCUGGACAAAUACUGACACUGAGGCGCGAGAGCGUGGGGAGCAAACAGG